ACGAACGCUGGCGGCGUGCCUAAUACAUGCAAGUCGAACGCUUCUUUCCUCCCGAGUGCUUGCACUCAAUUGGAAAGAGGAGUGGCGGACGGGUGAGUAACACGUGGGUAACCUACCCAUCAGAGGGGGAUAACACUUGGAAACAGGUGCUAAUACCGCAUAACAGUUUAUGCCGCAUGGCAUAAGAGUGAAAGGCGCUUUCGGGUGUCGCUGAUGGAUGGACCCGCGGUGCAUUAGCUAGUUGGUGAGGUAACGGCUCACCAAGGCCACGAUGCAUAGCCGACCUGAGAGGGUGAUCGGCCACACUGGGACUGAGACACGGCCCAGACUCCUACGGGAGGCAGCAGUAGGGAAUCUUCGGCAAUGGACGAAAGUCUGACCGAGCAACGCCGCGUGAGUGAAGAAGGUUUUCGGAUCGUAAAACUCUGUUGUUAGAGA
rnacentral:rRNA from 1 species